GUACUUUCAGUCGUGAGGAAGGCGGCGUCGUUAAUAGCGGCGUUGUUUGACGUUAGCGACAGAAGAAAGCACCGGCUAACUCCGUGCCAGCAGCCGCGGUAAUACGGAGGGUGCGAGCGUUAAUCGGAAUUACUGGGCGUAAAGACGCAUGCAGGUGGUUUGUUAAGUCAGAUGUGAAAGACCCGGGGCGUCAACCUCGGAAUUGCAUUUGUAAACUAGGCAGACUAGAGUACUGUAGAGGGGGGUAGGAAUUUCAGGUGUAGCGGUGAAAUGCGUAGAGAUCUGAAGGAAUACCGGUGGCGAAGGCGGCCCCCUCGGACAGAUACUGACACUCAGAUGCGAAAGCGUGGGGAGCAAACAGGAUUAGAUACCCUGGUAG
rnacentral:rRNA from 1 species